rnacentral:rRNA from 1 species
UGGUGGGUUGCCUUGUCAGGUUGAUUCCGGUAACGAACGAGACCUCAGCCUGCUAAAUAGUCCACAUCGCAGCUGCGGUGUGCUGACUUCUUAGAGGGACUAUUGGCGUUCAGCCAAUGGAAGUAUGAGGCGAUAACA